rnacentral:tRNA from 3 species
GCCUCUGUAGUUCAACGGUUAGAACGGAGCACUCAUAACGCUCAGAAGAUGGUUCGACUCCAUCCAGAGGCACUA